CCCAACCUAUAGUUGCACCAGAUGCAAGUUACGUUGUUCUUCCAUUUCUGUGAUUUGUCCAAAAGGAACCAUUAAACUUGCACUGGGUACAACUGUAAGCAGGACUUGAGAUUGACUUUCACCCCAUGAUCUAAGCUCAAAGAAAGAUGUUAAGACUGAGUAAGUUACAGAACGAGUAUGCCCAACACUUUUUCUUGAGCCGAGGUUCUUCGGAAAUUAAUUUUUCUACCGUCAUAAGCUUGCUGCAGGGUACAAGAAAGAAGCUGUCUUUGAGAUAGACCUCAAGUACACAAUCUAAUCUUAAAUGGGCAAAUCUUUGUGUUUUGGAAUCUAACCAGACAUUCAAUUUAAUGACAUCUCAAUUGGUAUUUACACGAAUGUGUGAGUUCAACUAUUAUUGUCUUUUAUUCUAAUUUUGGAAAAGAAGAGAAAAAGGAGUUUAUAUCUGACAUCGGUUUUUGAAAUACUAAUGUGGUAAAGAAGGUGUAACUUAAUGAAAAUUGUGUAGUUCACUCA